UACAGAGGUCCCAAGCGUUGUUCGGAUUCACUGGGCGUAAAGGGUGCGUAGGCGGUCGGGUAAGUCUGAUGUGAAAUCUCACAGCUUAACUGUGAAACUGCAUUGGAUACUAUCCGGCUCGAGGAAUGUAGGGGAGACUGGAAUACUUGGUGUAGCAGUGAAAUGCGUAGAUAUCAAGUGGAACACCAGUGGCGAAGGCGAGUCUCUGGACAUUUCCUGACGCUGAGGCACGAAAGCCAGGGGAGCAAACGGG
rnacentral:rRNA from 1 species